rnacentral:lncRNA from 1 species
AAAAAUGUACAGAACUCAUCUAAAUUAUAGACUAUAUUGAAUCUGUUAUUCAACUUUUUAAAAUUUUAAUUUUACUAUUCAACCUUUCAACUUUUUAAUUUGAAUUAAUCAACGACACUUUGCUUUAAACUUUAAGCUAAUUACUUACCUUAUAAAUUUACAGUUAUAAAAAUUAUAUAAAAUAUGCUAGUUAAAUCCGUAAAAAUAACUGAUAUAUUAAAAAUUUAAAGUUAAAUUAAAUAAAUUAAAAAAUAGAAUAAUAAAAAUUAAUAUUUUAAAAGAUGGAGUAGUCAAUUAGUGUAGUGCAUUG